GAAGGCAAAGGCGCCUCGGCGGGACCCCCACCCCCAGCGGCACGGCGGGCCCGGGGUCUCCACAGACCCGGCGGAGGGACGACAGCACACACAGGGCCCUGGCGCUCGGGCUCGGGUGCGUGGCAGUGCCGCGGGCGUCACCGGCGAGGAGGAAGCGGGCGUCACCAGCGAGGCCGCACAUGGCCGGCGGCGCUCAAGCGGAGGGGCGGCCCGGGACGCGGUACCUGCGGUCGGGCGGCGGGCUGCUGCUCCUGCGAGCCUCCUUUGGCCGGCCGGGACCCCCACCGUACCCUCGCCCUCGUCCGCCUCGCUCCCGACUCUUUUCCCUCUCUUUCCCCCUUUUUGCCCCUUCCUCGGCCGUGGCUCCAAGAUGGCGGCGCCGAGACGGAUCACGUGAGCGGCGAGCGGGUCAGGUGAGC
rnacentral:lncRNA from 1 species